AGCCCAUGGUAAGGGCACCUUCUCAAUAGGUCCUUGUAUCUCUCUCAUGCAUCAUAAAGUAUUUCUACAUCCAUCUGCACAAAAGAAGAGAUAUCAUUCCUCAACUU
rnacentral:snoRNA from 1 species